GAUGGAGUCUUAAGUCUGGACACAUUAAUACAAAAAUAGCACACUAUUCUGCUUAACAUCACUACUCAGCAAGUUUUGUUUUUACAGUUACAUUAGCCAUUAAGAAGGACCAAUGGGGAAUUUAGAGAGAGGCACCCAGCUGCAGAUGGAGUACCACACAAUGCUGAAAGUAGAAGCUGUUCCUCUUUAUGGUGCAGGGGAGAAGUGUUAGUCAAAUAAGGUUCAUAGAGUCUGUUUUAUUAAUCGACUUCUUGGUUCUUCUGUUAUCAGACACGGUAGUGUUUAAACAUACCCGACAUGUUCCGACGAACGUUUUCGUCAGAGUCUUCAUCAGAUGGUUAUGUGUGACUGUAACGGUCAUUUGUUAGUCUGUUGUGUUUUGUUUAAUAAAUGUUGGUUAAGUUAUGAGAAGUUUAUUUUGAGGGUAAUUUUAUUUUGAAAAUACCGGAAGUGCUUACCUUGCCUAGCGCACAUUGUAUGGACAGAGAAGAGAGUCGCUGGAAGCAGGAGCACCACGUUUGUAUGCAAAGAAUACCAGAUGUGGAUGAGAGGACACUAAGAGUAACUCCCAUCUCGGCAUGCAGCCAACGAGUUUUCACGGUGGAUUUGGAGAGACCAAAUAAACCCGUUAUGAGAACCAUUUGCGUCUGUAAAUGCCUGGUGUGGAGAAAUAGUGAAAACUCGACUGCUCCUCGACGCGAGUGGAGAAGAAAAAGAGCGCAAGAGCUACCACGCAGCGAGCACGCGCCUGCAGCAUGACAUCAAAGGACAGUCAGAUGAGUGGUUAAAACUUAAGCGAUCGCAAACGUUUGAAGCUACUCUUGACUUGCAUAUUUGGUGCGUCGGACUGAAGCAUGACAAAGAUAUUUACAUCUGGAUUUCAUUUUUGAACUUAAAGUGUGUUUUGAAAUGAGAGAAAUGUGCAUACUGUUUAAUACUCAAGUUAAGUGUUCUAGUGAGUUAAGUGUUUUAAGUUAAGAGUUUGAAAUUUACAUGGUUAAGGUUUACGAAUUUUUAUACUGCAAAGAUAAGUGUUUGAAAAAACAUACAAGAUUUUGUUUUAAGAUAUUGAAUUUUCUGAUUUCAACUAAGUGUUUUGAUUGAAAGGUAAUCAUUUCUAAAAUGUCACAAAAGGGUGAUUUUGCUGUUCAUAAUCAAGGGGAAUCAAAUUCUGAAGAAAAAUCCCCAAAAUUAGCUGAAGAGUUGCUACCUAGACGAAGUCAGAGGGCUAGAACACUAACAGAGAAAGGGAAAGAACUGCAAGAUGAAAAGUUAAAGUCUCUUCAGCAAAUAUUUAACUACAUAUACUCCAAAUGGAAAUCUCAUGUUAAGUUUUCUAAGCAGUCCUUAUCACAGUCUGCAGUGUCACCUUCAGACGAGCUGCUAAAUGAUAUUAUUGGUGAUAUCACAGGUCUUUCUGCAGAUGUUCAGCUUGUUUAUGAAGAACUGCGUAACAUUUCAGGACACAAGGCGAAGAGUAGACCGGUGUGUAAAGGUCUCCAAGUUUGUUGUAAAAAGAGCUUCAAGUCAACUAGAUGGUUAUUUGCCAGCUGAAGAAGAGCAAGGGUGGCCAGAAGCAGGUUCUCUUUUUGACUUUAGCACCUCAAAAUCUGGUUCCAUUUUGUCUUUCUUGAAAAGUGCUUCACAUAUUUCAAAGGACUCGUCUUGUAAACAACAAGAAGUUGCUGCUGAAGUUGCUGCAAAUCAAGCUGUUCUGAAAGUGUUAGAAGAACAAGAAAAAGAGCAGUCAGAAAUACAGAAUCUGGAAGCAGUAGUGAAGAAGAAAAUUGCUGAACAUGAAGCAGCUGUUGUGAGACGUCGUUUGGAACGAGAAGCAGAAGAGGUUAGGCACAGGAUCCAGAGAGAAGAGGAAGAAAUUAAAAUGAAAGCCCAAUUAGAA